rnacentral:lncRNA from 1 species
AAUGCUGAUUCUUUCCUUGAUGUUUCCAGCACACUCCUGUUUAGGUCUGGCUGAUAGAAUGUAUCUUGGGUCCAUGCCUAGAUCUAAAGAAGGCUGAGAAGUCUUUUUACUGGGCAUUAUGGCCCAAAGUGAGGUCGGAAUUCCAUUAAUAAGAAAAGUGGGAAAAACAGAUAAGGAGUAGGAAAUUAGCAGUGUUUGAUGACACACUUGUCUUAGUCCUGACUGCUAUAAGAAGGAACCAGCGGUUGGGUGGCUCAUAAACAACAGAAAUGUACAGUUCUAGAAGCUGGAAGUUUGUGAUCAGGGUGCGAUCAUGGUCAGGUGAGAGACCCUCUUACAAGUCAACUUUUUUGCAGCCUCACAUGAUGGAGAACAGAGAACAUCAACCACUCUCCUAACUUUUAUAAGGGUAUGAAUCCCAUUCAUGAGGCCUACAUCCUCAUGACCUCGUCUACUCCUAAUUACUCCCAAAGGCCCCGCCUGAUAGUACUAUCCCACGGUUGUGUAGGAAUGGGGCAGGGGGCAGUAAUAAGAUACCAACCUGUGAACAUUCAGUCCAUAACACCCUUAGAGAUGUUUUUCUUAGAAGAACCAUGUACCCCAGAGAUGAAAUACCACUUUCUAAUCCCAGAAAUAGCUACCAUUUUUAUUUUAAAUGGUAUUUAAAUGUUUUUAUAUUAUAUAUUUAUUUUUAACAUUUUAUUUAUUUAUUCAUGAGAGACACGGAGAGAGAAGAGGCAGAGACACAGGCAGAGGGAGAAGCAGGCUCCAUGCAGGAAGCCCAAUGUGGAACUCUGUCCCAGUACUCCAGGAUCACGCCCUGAGCCAAAGGCAGACCCUCGACCACUGAGCCACCCAGGCGUCCCUAAAUGUUUUUAUUUUAAAUAGCAAUUUUCCUUCCUGUUGAAUCUUUUUUGCUUCUUGUAGCUUAAAAAUUCUAGCAAUUCGAUUUCAAGAGCACUUUUAAAUAAAUGAAUUUGUGAUCUCCAGAUGGUUGGCUUUUAGUCUCUUACAUCAUCAUUGCAAAAGACAUAUCAGUGGCAUUUUUAAGCUCUUUUUUUAGACCUGUGUCUAAGAAUGAUUAAAUUUUCAUUUCCCUAUUAAAACCAAAAAUAACCAUUCUACUUAUUUUCAAACAAUCAAACUCACAGAAAAGUGGAAAGUACAGUUUAAAGAACUUUUUUGUCUUGAGCCAUUUGGGAGUUCAUUGCCAACCUGAUGUCCUAUCACCCCCAAAUACUUAAGCCGAUAUAUACAGGACAUUCUCCUAUAUAAUCACAGUGUAACCAUCAAAAUCAGCAUAUCAAGUUGAUGAUUUCUACCAUCUAAUCCUGAGGCUUCCAUUAAAUUUCAUCCCUUGUCCCAGUAAUAACCUUGAUAGCAAAAUAAAGGGUACACUUUGGAAUGUGUGUUGAGUUCAAUUAUCACAUCUCUUUAAUCUCCUUAAAUCUGAAAUGUUUCCUUAGUCUUUCUUUGGCUUCCACAACUUUGAUACUUCUGAAGAUUAUGGUUAGUUCUUGUGGAGACUAUCCCUCAACUUGAGUGUGUUUGUAUUUAGCAUGAAUAUUACCAAAGUAGUGCUAUUCUUAUUAUAUCUCAUUAGGUGCCGCUCAAUUUGUCCUACUACUGAUGAUGUCCAGUUUAAUCACCCAAUUAAAAUGAUGUCUGCCAGGCUUCUCCACAACUAGGUAACUCCAAAAUAAAUUACUGUUUUUUCCACUUGGAAUUAAUAAGUUUUAAUUUUGUGAGGAGAUACUUUAGAUCUAAAUAAAUAUCUCGUUCCUUAUCAAAUUUUCACUUUUUCAUUUAUAUCAGCAUGGGCUCAUGGUUUUCUCUCUUGUUUAAUGAGUUAAAAUCUGUUACUAUUGUUAUUUAUUUUGAUGCUUAAAUUGUCCUAUAUUUGACUAGUGGGAACUCCUCCAGAUUGGCUUCUGUGUCAUUUUGUCCCAUCAUUCUUUUAGUACUUUUUUUUUCUAGCCCAACAAAAUGUUCCAGACCCAGUGUUGAAAGUGUCCCUUUCUCCAAGGAAUAGGAGUUACCAAAUAAAAUAAAAGUU